rnacentral:lncRNA from 1 species
AAUGCAAGAAGCACAGGGUUUGAUAAUUGAAAUCUGAGGUCUCAAGUUCGAAACUUAAUUGAUUUAUAUUUUUAAUUAGCUAAGUUCAUUAUUUCUAAAAAAACGAACGAAAAAAGUGGCGUAUUACCUUUCUCUCGAAAAAUGAAAUUGACAUCUUUGAUCUUUAUAUAUACUAGUCAUAUGCACGUGCAAUGCACGUAAGAAAAAAUUAAAUAAUAUUUUUUCUAAAAUAUAUAUUAAUUUUAAGUUAUUAAUGAAUUUGAAAUAUAAAAUAACUGUACUCCUAUUCCCCAAUUAUUACU